rnacentral:rRNA from 1 species
AGGUUAAGCGAAGAAGAGCGUAUGGUGGAUGCCUAGACACCAGGAGGCGAAGAAGGACGCAGCAAACGGCGAAACGCGACGGCGAGCAGUAAGCAGGCAACGACCCGUCGAUAUCCGAAUGGGGGAACCCGCCAUCCACGAGGGUGGCAUCGCGCAAGCGAGGCAAUACGCAGGGAACUGAAACAUCUCAGUACCUGCAGGAGAAGAAAGUAAAAACGAUUCCGUAAGUAGUGGCGAGCGAAAGCGGAGGAGCCCAAACCAUCAGAUGAUGGGGUUAUAGGGCUGCCGAGAAAGUCGAUGCGACAUGACAGGAGAAGCGCAGGGGAAGGCGCAGCGAAGAGGGUGAAACUCCCGUAUCCGAAGUCGUGAAGCAGGGCGAGGCAGACCCUGAGUACGUCGGGGCACGAGGA